GAAUUUGAAAACAAUGUAGAAAUUUGUUUUUAUUCUGAAUUAGUAAUUAUGAUUUGUUUUUUUUUUUUGUCUUUGUCCUCUCAUUUUGCAGCAGUCCAGUGAGCACCAAAAGCUGAGCGAAGUCUGAUACAUGUUGCUCAGAUGAAGAUCGGAGAGACGUCGUUGAAUGAGACUAGCUCCAAAUCUCAUCAGAUUCUCUUACUGGCUUGAUGAAAAUGUAAACUGUAAUAUAAAUCUUAUCCUAUAUAUUUGCAAUAAAAUGUUCAUUAAAUUA